rnacentral:rRNA from 1 species
UUAUUAAAACUUAAAUAUUUUGGCGGUAUUUUAGUUUAUUUAGAGGAAUCUGUUUAUUAAUUGAUAAUCCACGAAUAAAUUUACUUAAUUUAUUAUUUUGUAUAUCAUUGUUAAAUAAAUAUUUUUUAAUAAUUAAUAAUAUUUUAAAAUUAUGAAUAAAAAUUAAAUCAAAUCAAGAUGCAGAUUAUAAUUAAGAAUAUAAUGGAUUACAAUAAUUUUAUUUAAAUGAAUUUUAAUUUGUAAUAAUUAAAUGAAGGU